CAGUAGCCGCGGUAAAACGGAGGGUGCAAGCGUUAAUCGGAAUUACUGGCGUAAAGCGUGCGUAGGCGGUUUGACAAGUCUUGUGUGAAAUCUCUGGGCUCAACCCAGAGUCUGCACGAGAAACUGUCGGGCUAGAGGAUGGGAGAGGUGAGUGGAAUUUCCGGUGUAGCGGUGAAAUGCGUAGAUAUCGGAAGGAACACCUGUGGCGAAAGCGGCUCACUGGACCAUUUCUGACGCUGAUGCACGAAAGCUAGGGGAGCAAACAGGAUUAGAUACCCCAGUAGUCCCUGUCUCUUAUACA
rnacentral:rRNA from 1 species